ensembl:snoRNA
GUCCUUGGGUGGUUCCUAAGCGCCAUGAUUGGGUUCUCCCGAGACAUGCCUCCCUCAAACCUUGUGAUGAUGUUGGCACAUUUUUACCGGUCAGAUG